UGAGGUAGUAGGUUGUAUGGUUUAGAGUUACA
rnacentral:piRNA from 1 species